UCCAUCAAACCCUAGCCUCUUUUUCCUCUUAAAAUCGUCUUGAAAUCUUUCUCCAAUCUUGCUCUGAAGUUCAGUAAAUUUUCGAACUUCAAUUCUGUUUUAAUCGCAAAAAUUGACAUCUCCGUUCAUAACAGAUAUCUCACUCGUUUCGGAACCAAAUUCCCUUCCGUUUGAUCCCUGAGAUUGUAGACUCAGUCCUCUAUGAUCCGACAUCUUAUUCUCGAAGAACGCCGUUCGGAGGUCGAAAUCAAUUCCGUUUGUUUCCCGUGAAAGUAGACUCACGCAUCUACGUUUCUACACCUUUCGUUCGUCAAACGACCCGUCGACUGCUCGUGCUUCGGAGUCUACGCAGGGUUAGCUGUUUGCCAAGAUCACGUGGAUAAGCAAGCUGUUUAUGAUUUGAAAGCUGGUCCACUCCGAUUCUUUUGAUUCCUCGGAGGUUUUUAUGUUAUUAAACUAGUUUCUGUUUUCAAACUCUUAGACCGCAGUAGAACUAGUUUAUAUAUUACAUUUGUUAUUGCAUUGGGAUUGUCGAUUAGACCGAUUAUUUAUUAUUGGCAUAUUUACACUGGAAUAUUUUAUUAUUAUAUUUAAGGCAUGUUGUGGAA